AGAGGGGUGUGCCGAAUGGUAAGGCGGCAGACUGCUAAUCUGUAGUCGGGAAACCGGCUUCGGGGUUCGACUCCCCGUCCCUCUG
rnacentral:tRNA from 1 species